CUCAAACAACAGGUAUGAUGGAAAUAAAUUCCUGAUGCUGCCUUGUCCAUCUUGAGCCAGGACUUCAGGAGGCUUGUACUAACACUAAAAAGGUUGACUUUCCUGCUUCUGGAAGAGUAGCAUCCCAGACAAAAUGACUCUGCUGAUGAAGAAUGCUACCCAGUUCUGACAUCAUUGCCCUGAGCAGCCAUGGCUUCUACAGUUCCUCAGGCAGAUGACAUGCAGAAAGGUCUGGACCAGGGAUAGAACUCGAGCCAUCGCAGUGACAGUUCUGACUCAUUAACCACUAGGCCUCCAGGGAACACUGCACUCUGCCAUCUUGACUGGAAGGUGGAUCUGUGUCUCCAGGUGUCAAGAGACAUGCCUAAAUUCACACUACAGCAGAAUAAGGAGUAGAACUAGCCUUGGGCUUAACUUUAUGGAUGGGGUAUUUGUGACACAAUCACAUGGUCUCAUAAAGAUAUGAAGACUCAGAAAUAUGAUGACUCCAUGAAGCAAACAGUGUUUGGAUGACACCUCUAGGCACAGCCUCCUCUCCACCAAGGUGUGGAGACUGCCUGAAGUCUUUCCUUAAGCAGUUGGCCCUCCCAGUCUGAUGCUCUCUAUGUGAGCUUGCUGGCUCUGUGCCCAUGCCCAGACCUGGGAUUUAUAGCCCGGGCUGCCCUCACACCCCUGGGGGCCCUCCCACAGUCUCCCAAGCUUGGACUGUGGCCUGAGGCCCAAGGACCUGGCUCUCCCAAAAGGCUGCACCUGUGCAGGAAACAACAAAUAUACCACAUGUUCUAAAAGUUCAGGACUAAUUGUUCAAGAUUGGGAAGGAGGCACUAGAGUUUUAAAAAAAGAAAGAAGAGAGAGAGAAAGAAAACAAGCCUCUUAUCUAAAAGUGAAAUCCUUCCCCUGAAGAAGCACACAUCUGGAAUUCAUUCUCUGCUGCAGCAAGCCACAAACUAUCGCUCUACCAGGACCCUGUCCAGCCACCGCGCAGCGGUGACUGCAUGCAGACUGUGCUUCGUGAGAGGCUGGUAGAGUUUUUCUCUGAUAAAUAUUCUUGCACAAGUUAGUUUUCAAGCUACGGUUCAUAAAUAUACAGUAUUCCAGCAAAAAAGUACAGAAUGUCCUCUUGGGGUUGACAAGCAAAUAGUUUCAUAAAUAACCCUCUUGACACGUGCAAGAUGUUAACAUUUUUGAGGUUUUGGGUAGGGGCAGACAAGGAUUUAAUUGCUCGAUUCAGUCUGGAGCCACUCUAGACUUGGACGUUACCUCUUGGGGGCCAAUGGAAAUGUUUUUCUUGGCCUCACAGAGUUCAUGUUGCCUGUCAGCACUGAGGACAAAGUCCUCUCCUCAGAAAAUUCUGGGUCAGUGGGCUGCACAGGUGAAGCAAGGGCGCCUGCUCUAAGGCAUCAAAUAUAAUGCAAUUCCUUACACAGGAGGAGGGCUGGGCUAUUGCAGAGGCACUGAUUGCCCAGCUUGGAAAACAACACAUCUGUGGAAAAAAGGAACAAGUUCCAAAGAAGCCUCUUAAUUUGACAGUAAUUAAAAUUUUUUUUCCUUUUUUUUUUAAGGCUACACCUAUGGUAUAUGGAAGUUCUUGGGCUCAGAGUCAAAUUGGAGUCGCAGCUGCCAGCCUACACUACAGUCAUAGCAAAGCCUUUUCUGAGCCAUACCUGCGACCUGUGUAGCAGGUUAUGGCAGUGUUGGAUACUUAACCCACUGAACGAGGCCAGAGAUUGAACCCACAUUCUCAAGAACACUAUGUUGUCAGUGAACCACAAUGGGCACUUCCCUAAAUUUUUAAACAGCAAAUUUUGGGCAGAUCCUGGACUGGGCCAGAUCAAACACUGAGUCUAGUGGCAUUUUAUUAUCAGAAGCAUCACUGGAUCUUAAAGCAGUUCAUGGGACAGAUUGAGGUCUGUCAAAAUGUUUUUCUUCUUCUUCUUCUUUUUUUAUUUAUUAUUUAAAAAUCUAAAAAAAAUUUAUUUUUUAAAUGAUUUUUAUUUUUUCCGCUGUGGUUGGUUUACAGUGUUCUGUCAAUUUACUACUGUACAGCAAAGUGAAGACUGUAUGUAUAAAAAUACUUUUCAUACUGACCCUAACACGUUGCCAGGAUUCCUACCGUUGAAGUCCAUUGAGGUCCAACCAAUUCAUAAGCAGAAUGUUUUCUGGGUUUAAUAAAUGAGGACAUAACACUCCUGAGCAUCUCAAUAUAACUUAAAUGCGGCUUUAUAUUUUCCAACCCCUUUCACAUCCACAACUGCAGUUGAACCCAAGAAUACCCCUGUGAGACAAAAAGGGAAGACACCACAGUUCCUAUUUUACAGAAGGAAAUGCAGAAGCCAGGUGAAGGGGAGAAAAUUGUCCAGGGAUCCCAGAUAAUA